rnacentral:tRNA from 1 species
GGAGAGUUGGCAGAGCGGUAAUGCAGCGGAUUGCUAAUCCGUCGUGAUGUAACAAUCACGCGCGAGUUCAAAUCUCGCACUCUCCG